rnacentral:rRNA from 1 species
GACGAACGCUGGCGGCGUGCUUAACACAUGCAAGUCGAACGCUGAAGCUUGGUGCUUGCCCUGGGUGGAUGAGUGGCGAACGGGUGAGUAAUACGUGAGUAACCUGCCCUUGACUCUGGGAUAAGCCUGGGAAACUGGGUCUAAUACUGGAUACGACAUGCCACUGCAUGUGGUUUUGUGAAAGGGGUUUACUGGUUUUGGAUGGGCUCACGGCCUAUCAGCUUGUUGGUGGGGUAAUGGCCUACCAAGGCGACGACGGGUAGCCGGCCUGAGAGGGUGACCGGCCACACUGGGACUGAGACACGGCCCAGACUCCUACGGGAGGCAGCAGUGGGGAAUAUUGCCCAAUGGGCGGAAGCCUGAUGCAGCGACGCCGCGUGAGGGAUGACGGCCUUCGGGUUGUAAACCUCUUUCAGCACGGAAGAAGCGAGAGUGACGGUACGUGCAGAAGAAGCGCCGGCUAACUACGUG